UUUUAUGAUUUGGCCGCCAUUUGUCAAUCUAUCAAUUUACUUCACGUUUCAUAAAAUCGAGUGAAACUUUCGUAGUGUUUAAAUUCUUUUUGGAGUUUCGCUAGGCUAGGCCUCGUUAAAGUGUUCUGUGGGCUAGGCUGAUCUAAUCGAGCAUUCAGCAUCAUAGAGUGCGCCGGGGUUUGACAGCCAUAAAAAAAUCGAAGUUCAUUCUCAAACAGAUUUUGAAGAGUUUGUAGUUUAAGAACAUCACAUCAUUGACCUUCUAAUGAGCAUAGAAAAUUCAUAAAUAAUUUACAAGAAAUGCUAAAAUAUAGAAAACCAGCAAUAGAUGGUGCGUGGGAAAGAUCAACAUAAUGUGGGUAUAGUUUGUCUUGUUUACAAAUUUUCCGAUGAUAGGUUUGUAUUCUAUAAAGAGUAAGAUCGUCUGAUUUGUUACAUUUUUAUAUUUUAUAUGGGGCGUAGUUCGUUACAAUAUUCAUGGGUCAAUAUUUAUGUUAUGAUAUAAUUAUUACUGAACGUUAAACUUAGAAAACUUAAAUAAGAAUUUUAAUUCUCCACGUCUGCUGAUGAUGGGAUUUGGAAAUAAAGUUAUUAUAUCUUCAUCAUAUAUAGAACUAAUAUCGUCAACGUGAGGAUAAUAAAAUAAUUCAGUCUUUCUCUGUCUUUGCAAAAAUUUGAGCGUUGGUUUUCCAUCAUUAUAAAUUUUUAUAUUAUAUGUCCAACGAAAUGUCUGACUGUCUUUUUAGUACAAUAUUUGACUUAUACCAGUCUUCUAUAGCUCUUAUGGCUGCAGCAUUUUCCACUGACAGAAGUGGAUCUUCAUCAAAAAUUAUAUUUCCAUAUUCCCUGUUCAUGUUUUGAAUUAUUUCAGAAUUUUCAAUCGACAGAAAAGGAUCUUCAUUUUUAUUACAAAUAAUAUUUUCGUCAUUACUUAAAGCUUGAAAUUUUUCAAUAUUAAUAUAAUCCAAUGCAUCUGAAUUAUACAACGACAUUAGAUUCAUUGCUUGAGGAACAUGAAGAACGAGUCGUGUUCUUCUUCUUAAUUAUUUUCUAAUUUCCUUUCCCCUUUUUACUUGUUUUUUCUUGCACAGUUUUGCUUUAUUCUAUGGCUUCAUUUGUCUUUUCAACUUUUUCUUUGAUCAAUCUUUCACUCUCUCGUAUCCGUUCUAGAACUUCUUCGUUUGUUAUAAAUUCUGCUCCGUAAGUAAUCCUCUUUCUCUUAAUGUUUUCAGGUUUACUUGAAUUUGCACAUUUCACUCGCGAUAGUAGCAAAUCUUUAAACGUCAUAUUAUUUCCUUGCAAAGAUAUGGGAGUUAAUACUUCAAAGCUAUUAUUUCCCAAAGCAGGCGAAUGGUUGACAACUUCUCUUCCAUGUAUAUUUGUCAUCGACAUUGUAGACAUCCUUGAAAUUGAUGACAAAGGUGAUGGCGCAUUUUGUAAAGGAAAUUUAGAAAAUAUAUCAAAGUGUGUUUGUAACUACAUUUUGAGUUAUUGGUGCAUUAAUAGUUGAUGUCAAAAUCUGUCAAUGUGAUAGGAAUCGUUGAAGUUGAUGGCAAAGAAGUGCCUUCUUGCAACAAUAGCAGAGCCAAAUCCAAAGGAAAAUUUACUUCACUAUCUGGAAUUGACAACGCUUUCGGCGAUUACGCUAUAUCAGAGGAUAGUCUUGCUGCUGGCUGGGUAUUGGAGAAAGUACGAACAUUGAAGGGGUUUGUUGUGAUAGCAAUUUCGAAAUCAUCUAUGGUAGGAAUUAUCGUUGGUGUAAUUGAGAUAGAAUCCGCGUUACCAUAUUAAUAUCUUCAUAUCGUUUCUUUGCAUUAUUAUUUUGCCCUUCUUUCCAUCUCUAAUGAAUUCGGAUCAAACUUAUCGUCGCUUAUCACACUGUCAUCACACGGGUAAAUUCUACCUUUUCUAAAUCCAUUUUUUUUGUUAUGGCCAACACUUUCGAGCUGAUCGAAAGUGUUCGCCAUAAUAAAAGCAAAUUCGUUCUUUGGCAAAGCUUUUCCAAUAUUCAUUCUUUGCCACCUCACCAACUUUUCAUCCCAUGAACCUUUAAGAGAUUUCAUGACCGAUAGAUCUAAUGGCUGUAGUAAGUGGCUCGAAUGGGGUGGACUUUUAAGAAUAGUCACAUUGGCUUUUUUUGCUUCUUCAAUGACUUGUAAAUCAAUAUGUGUAGAAUGUCGAUCAUAUGUAAGCAAUACAGGGCGAGAGUUGCCAAUAGCCUUAAGGAAAUGUUUUACGAAGUAAUUUAGAUUUUACCUUUGUGAUUUAUGACCGUGUCUGCCACUAACAUGAUCCAUCAACGUAGUUAUAGGUAUAUUGUAUCGUACUGCCGCCUCGUACCCACUAUAGACUCCUGAUCUUGCUUUAAUUACUGCCUCCUCCAGUUUUUCUCUAGUGCUGUCCUCGUUCCGACUUACUGACGUAAUGUCGUGGCAUUUCGCCCAAAAUCCUAGAAAUAUAUCCUAUGUUUAUAAACCUUUAAAACGGUUCCAGAUGACGCUAUCCUAACAAAUAUUAAAUCAAAAAACAACUGUUAAGGUAUCAAAAAAUGUAUAAAAUCUCUGAAAAAAAUAAAGAUUAUUUAUCUGGGCAGGUAUCUCUGGAUAUAUAUGGUGCCUGACGGUGGCACACGUGAAUUUCACGAAAUUGGUUAUUCGUCGUGUAUGGUUGGUUCAUUUAGGCGUUUAGCUCCAACUUGUGUUAAUUU